GCCAGUAUGGCAUAGUGGUUUGGGUGUUGGACUACAGCUCUGGAGACCAGGGUUUGAAUUCCUGCUGAGCCA